UACGGGGGGAGCAAGCGUUGUUCGGAUUUACUGGGCGUAAAGGGCGCGUAGGCGGCGCAACAAGUCACUUGUGAAAUCUCCGGGCUUAACCCGGAGCGGCCAAGUGAUACUGUCGUGCUAGAGUGCGGAAGGGGCUACUGGAAUUCUCGGUGUAGCGGUGAAAUGCGCAGAUAUCAGGAGGAACACCGAUGGCGAAGGCAGGUCUCUGGGCCACUACUGACGCUGAGAAGCGAAAGCGUGGGGAGCGAACAGG
rnacentral:rRNA from 1 species